ACUAAAAUGGCUGAAAAAUAGGCAGUAAAUUGUAAAUUUACCUAUGAAAAGAAAUUUUCUUUUAGUA
rnacentral:tRNA from 1 species